rnacentral:rRNA from 1 species
GACGAACGCUGGCGGCGUGCUUAACACAUGCAAGUCGAACGGAAAGGCCCUGCUUUUGUGGGGUGCUCGAGUGGCGAACGGGUGAGUAACACGUGAGUAACCUGCCCUUGACUUUGGGAUAACUUCAGGAAACUGGGGCUAAUACCGGAUAGGAGCUCCUGCUGCAUGUUGUGGGUUGGAAAGUUUCGGCGGUUGGGGAUGGACUCGCGGCUUAUCAGCUUGUUGGUGUGGUAGUGGCUUACCAGGGCUUUGACGGGUAGCCUGCCUGAGAGGGUGAACGGCCACAUGGGGACUGAGAGACGGAGCAGAAUCCUACGGGAGGCAGCAGGGGGGAAUAUGGCAGAAUGGGCGGAAGUCUGAUGCAGAAACGCCGCGUGCGGGAUGACGGCUUUCGGGUUGUAAACAGCUGUCGCCUGUGACGAAGAGUGAGUGACGGUAAUGGGUAAAGAAGCACCGGCUAACUACGUG